rnacentral:rRNA from 1 species
UACGAAGGGGGGCUAGCGUUGCUCGGAAUGACUGGGCGUAAAGGGCGCGUAGGCGGACGGCUUUGUCGGGCGUGAAAUUCCAGGGCUUAACCUUGGGGCUGCGUUCGAGACGGGUUGUCUAGAGUUUGGAAGAGGGUCGUGGAAUUCCCAGUGUAGAGGUGAAAUUCGUAGAUAUUGGGAAGAACACCGGUGGCGAAAGGCGGCGACCUGGUCCUUGACUGACGCUGAGGCGCGAAAGCGUGGGGAGCAAACAGG